AAGGGCCAAUCAGACCCACUGCCACUCACCAGCUGGGGCUCUCUCUGCUGCGAUAGGCUCCACUCAUGGGACUUUGCCGAGAUGUCCAUUUGGGUUUGCCUGAGCCCUUCUCCCCUGGAGGUUAGGACAGUCAGCCCUUCCUGAAGGUGCCAUGGGGUAGUCCACACAAGCCUGCUCAGGUCUCAUGGCUCCUCAGUCCCUUGUCCAGGCUAACCCUAGCUCCUUCCUUCUCCCCAGCUGGAGUCAUAAGCUGCUGCUGCUCAGGACAACUUCUGGGAUUUCCCUAAUCCAGAAGAUACUGAAAGUGUAACUUCAGUACUGCAGGAACAUAACUAUGAACAUCGCAUUCCCUAGCCAGCCAGGCUGGCAUUCAAUGGUAAGGAAAAAGUAAAGCAUUUUCCUACUCCAAAUGUCCAAAGUUUACUUCCAACAAAUCUUAUCUAAAACAAUUAUUAGAGGAUGUACUCAAUCAAAACAAAAAUAAAUUUAAAAGGA
rnacentral:lncRNA from 1 species